ACGGACAUAUCACGUUGAAACACCGAUUUCCGUAAGAAUCACCGAAGAUAAGCAACGUCGAGCCUUGUCAGUACCUAGAUGGGUGACCGUUUGGGAA
rnacentral:rRNA from 1 species